GUUGGAUAGGGUCAAUUGAAACAGCGAAAAAGAAACAAAGAUCUUGGACCCUAUAUUAAACACAUGAGACUGAAACAUGAUUGAUUGAUCAUGAUCAUGAUUGAUUGAUUGAUUGAUUGAUUGAUUGAUUGAUUAGUUGGUUGGUUGGUUGGUUGGUUGGUUGUGUUAACGGUUAAACACGUUGGAUAGGGUCAAUUGAAACAGCGAAAAAGAAACAAAGAUCUUGGACCCUAUAUUAAACACAUGAG
rnacentral:lncRNA from 1 species